GAUGAACGCUGGCGGCGUGCCUAAUACAUGCAAGUCGAGCGAAUGGAUUAAGAGCUUGCUCUUAUGAAGUUAGCGGCGGACGGGUGAGUAACACGUGGGUAACCUGCCCAUAAGACUGGGAUAACUCCGGGAAACCGGGGCUAAUACCGGAUAACAUUUUGAACCGCAUGGUUCGAAAUUGAAAGGCGGCUUCGACUGUCACUUAUGGAUGGACCAGCGUCGCAUUAGCUAGUUGUUGAGGUAACGGCUCACCAAGGCAACGAUGCGUAGCCGACCUGAGAGGGUGAUCGGCCACACUGGGACUGAGACACGGCCCAGACUCCUACGGGAGGCAGCAGUAGGGAAUCUUCCGCAAUGGACGAAAGUCUGACGGAGCGACGCCGCGUGAGUGAUGAAGGCUUUCGGGUCGUAAAACUCUGUUGUUAGGGAAGAACAAGUGCUAGUUGAAUAAGCUGGUACCUUGACGGUACCUAACCAGAAAGCCACGGCUAACUACGUGCCAGCCGCCGCGGUAA
rnacentral:rRNA from 1 species